rnacentral:rRNA from 1 species
GUAGGGAAUCUUCCGCAAUGGACGAAAGUCUGACGGAGCAACGCCGCGUGAGCGAAGAAGGCCUUCGGGUCGUAAAGCUCUGUUGUUAGGGAAGAACAAGUAACGCAGUAACUGGCGUUACCGUGACGGUACCUAACGAGAAAGCCACGGCUAACUACGUGCCAGCAGCCGCGGUAAUACGUAGGUGGCAAGCGUUGUCCGGAAUUAUUGGGCGUAAAGCGCGCGCAGGCGGUUCCUUAAGUCUGAUGUGAAAGCCCACGGCUCAACCGUGGAGGGUCAUUGGAAACUGGGGGACUUGAGUGCAGAAGAGGAGAGCGGAAUUCCACGUGUAGCGGUGAAAUGCGUAGAGAUGUGGAGGAACACCAGUGGCGAAGGCGGCUCUCUGGUCUGUAACUGACGCUGAGGCGCGAAAGCGUGGGGAGCAAACAGGAUUAGAAACCCUAGUAGUCC